GAUGAACGCUGACAGAAUGCUUAACACAUGCAUGUCAACUGUGGCGGACGGGUGAGUAACGCGUAAAGAACUUGCCUCACAGUUAGGGACAACAUUUGGAAACGAAUGCUAAUACCUGAUACUGUGAGAGAGCUUUUCGUCCUAUUAGCUUGUUGGAGAGGUAACGGCUCACCAAGGCGAUGAUGGGUAGCCGGCCUAAGAGGGUGAUCGGCCACAAGGGGACGGAUACACGUCCCUUACUCCUACGGGAGGAAGCAGUGGGGAAUAUUGGACAAUGGACCAAAAUAUUAUCCAGCAAUUCUGUGUGGACGAUGAAGUUUUCGGAAUGUAAAGUGCUUUAAGUUGGGAAACGAUACCAACAGAAGUAGUGACGGCUAAAUACGUGCCAGCAGCCGCGGUAAUAC
rnacentral:rRNA from 1 species